rnacentral:rRNA from 1 species
GAGUUUGAUCAUGGCUCAGGACGAACGCUGGCGGCGUGCUUAACACAUGCAAGUCGAGCGGUAAGGCCCUUCGGGGUACACGAGCGGCGAACGGGUGAGUAACACGUGAGUAAUCUGCCCUUCACUUCGGGAUAACCACCGGAAACGGUGGCUAAUACCGGAUACGACCGCCCCGGGCAUCUGGUGGUGGUGGAAAGUUCUGGCGGUGGAGGAUGAGCUCGCGGCCUAUCAGCUUGUUGGUGGGGUAGUGGCCUACCAAGGCGACGACGGGUAGCCGGCCUGAGAGGGUGACCGGCCACACUGGGACUGAGACACGGCCCAGACUCCUACGGGAGGCAGCAGUGGGGAAUAUUGGACAAUGGGCGGAAGCCUGAUCCAGCAACGCCGCGUGAGGGAUGACGGCCUUCGGGUUGUAAACCUCUUUCAGUACCGACGAAGCGGAAGUGACGGUAGGUACAGAAGGAGCACCGGCCAACUACGUGCCAGCAGCCGCGGUAAUACGUAGGGUGCGAGCGUUGUCCGGAAUUAUUGGGCGUAAAGGGCUCGUAGGCGGUUUGUCGCGUCAGGAGUGAAAACUCGGGGCUUAACUCCGAGCCUGCUUCUGAUACGGGCAGACUAGAGGUAUGCAGGGGAGAACGGAAUUCCUGGUGUAGCGGUGAAAUGCGCAGAUAUCAGAGGAACACCGGUGGCGAAAGCGGUUCUCUGGGCAUUACCUGACGCUGAGGAGCGAAAGUGUGGGGAGCGAACAGGAUUAGAUACCCUGGUAGUCCACACCGUAAACGUUGGGCGCUAGGUGUGGGACUCAUUCCACGAGUUCCGUGCCGCAGCUAACGCAUUAAGCGCCCCGCCUGGGGAGUACGGCCGCAAGGCUAAAACUCAAAAGGAAUUGACGGGGGCCCGCACAAGCGGCGGAGCAUGCGGAUUAAAUUCGAUGCAACGCGAAGAACC